UGGAUUAGUGUUGCUUCUUUGGUUGGUC
rnacentral:piRNA from 1 species